rnacentral:rRNA from 1 species
UACGGAGGGUGCAAGCGUUAUCCGGAUUCACUGGGUUUAAAGGGUGUGUAGGCGGGCAGAUAAGUCAGUGGUGAAAUCCCCGAGCUUAACUUGGGAACUGCCAUUGAUACUAUUUGUCUUGAAUGUCGUGGAGGUAGGCGGAAUGCGUCAUGUAGCGGUGAAAUGCUUAGAUAUGACGCAGAACACCAAUUGCGAAGGCAGCUUGCUACACUGUUAUUGACACUGAGGCACGAAAGCGUGGGGAUCAAACAGG